rnacentral:tRNA from 1 species
AGACGAUGAUUACUCACGAUGAGUGUCCACACAGAUUGAUACGGUUUAUAAAGUAAAGAGAAGAAGAGUUCCCAAACUCUUCAAUCCAGUGUCCCGUUCGUCUAGAGGCCUAGGACACCGCCCUUUCACGGCGGUAACAGGGGUUCGACUCCCCUACGGGAUACCAUUGGGUCGUUAGCUCAGUUGGUAGAGCAGUUGACUUUUAAUCAAUUGGUCGCAGGUUCGAAUCCUGCGCGACCCACCAUUCCUUCCAUUAGGAAUUAAAACUCAAAAUAUGGGGCUAUAGCUCAGCUGGGAGAGCGCCUGCCUUGCACGCAGGAGGUCUGCGGUUCGAUCCCGCAUAGCUCCACCAUAUUUUGAAACAAUGGGCGAUUAGCUCAGUUGGGAGAGCACCUGCCUUACAAGCAGGGGGUCACUGGUUCGAGCCCGGUAUCGCCCACCAUCUUUAAGCGCAUUCGAUGAGUGCUUUUAAAAAUGGUUACUUCAUUAAAAGUGAUUAGCUCUUUAACAAUUUGGAAAGCUGACAAAACAACAAUUUAUUGUUGUUUGUAAAGUUCUCAAUGUUUGUCUUUAAGACAAACACCAAAAUAACACAUUCAAGUGUCCUUGGAAUUUGAGUCCGGCAAAAUCGAGUCUGCAUCAUGUAUAAAAAUUGCAGACAACUUUGGUGACUUGUUCAUCAGCUCGAAACUCCUUCGGGUUGUAU